GAUGAACGCUGGCGGCGUGCUUAAUACAUGCAAGUCGAACGGAGACAUUAGCAAUAAUGUUUUAGUGGCGAACGGGUGAGUAACGCGUUGGUGACCUGCCCCGAAGAGAGGGAUAACAGUUCGAAAGGAUUGCUAAUACCCCAUGUGGUUGUUUGGAUUAGAUGCCUUACAACUAAACGGAUUUAUUCGCUUCGGGAGGGACCUGCGUCCCAUCAGCUAGUUGGUAGGGUAACGGCCUACCAAGGCUAUGACGGGUAGGGGACCUGAGAGGGUGGCCCCCCACAAUGGAACUGAAACACGGUCCAUACACCUACGGGUGGCAGCAGUAGGGAAUAUUGGUUAAUCUGCGAAAGCGGGAACCAGCAACGCCGCGUGCACGAUGAAGGCCUUCGGGUUGUAAAGUGCUUUUUGAGAGGAUGAGGAAGGACAGUACUCUUAGAAUAAGCUUCGGCUAACUACGUGCCAGCAGCCGCGGUAAAACGUAGGAAGCGAGCGUUAUCCGGAUUUACUGGGCGUAAAGCGUGUGUAGGCGGUUUGACAAGUUGGAUGUGAAAGCUCCUGGCUUAACUGGGAGAGGUCGUUCAAAACUGUCAGACUCGAGAGUGGUAGAGGGAGGUGGAAUUCCGGGUGUAGUGGUGAAAUGCGUAGAUAUCCGGAGGAACACCAGUGGCGAAAGCGGCCUCCUGGCCCAUUUCUGACGCUCAGACACGAAAGCUAAGGUAGCAAACGGGAUUAGAGACCCCGGUAGUCUUAGCUGUAAACGAUGUGAACUUAGUGUCGGUGGGUUUAAAUCCAUCGGUACUGAAGCU
rnacentral:rRNA from 1 species